rnacentral:rRNA from 1 species
AGCGAACGCUGGCGGCAGGCCUAACACAUGCAAGUCGAGCGGCCGUAGCAAUACGGCAGCGGCAGACGGGAGAGUAACACGUGGGAACGUGCCCAUUAGUUCGGAACAACCCAGGGAAACUUGGGCUAAUACCGGAUACGCCCUUACGGGGAAAGAUUUAUCGCUGAUGGAGCGGCCCGCGUCUGAUUAGCUAGUUGGUGAGGUAACGGCGCACCAAGGCGACGAUCAGUAGCUGGUCUGAGAGGAUGAUCAGCCUCACUGGGACUGAGACACGGCCCAGACUCCUACGGGAGGCAGCAGUGGGGAACAUUGGACAAUGGGCGCAAGCCUGAUCCAGCCAUGCCGCGUGGAUGAUGAAGGCCCUAGGGUUGUAAAGUCCUUUCGGCGGGGAAGAUAAUGACGGUACCCGCAGAAGAAGCCCCGGCUAACUUCGUGCCAGCCGCCGCCGUAAAAC